rnacentral:rRNA from 1 species
UACAGAGGGUGCAAGCGUUAAUCGGAAUUACUGGGCGUAAAGGGCGCGUAGGCGGCUAUAUAAGUUAUGUGUGAAAUCUCUGGGCUUAACCUGGGAACUGCCCAUAAUACUGUAUAGCUAGAGUAGAGUAGAGGAAAGUGGAAUUUCCGGUGUAGCGGUGAAAUGCGUAGAUAUCGGAAGGAACACCAGUGGCGAAGGCGGCUUUCUGGACUCAUACUGACGCUGAGGCGCGAAAGCGUGGGGAGCAAACAGG